rnacentral:rRNA from 1 species
GACGAACGCUGGCGGCGUGCUUAACACAUGCAAGUCGAACGGUGAAGCGAGUGCUUGCACUCGUGGAUCAGUGGCGAACGGGUGAGUAACACGUGAGUAACCUGCCCAUCACUCUGGGAUAAGCACUGGAAACGGUGUCUAAUACUGGAUACGACCAACCCCUGCAUGGGGGGGUGGUGGAAAGUUUUGUCGGUGGUGGAUGGACUCGCGGCUUAUCAGCUUGUUGGCGGGGUAGUGGCUCACCAAGGCUUGGACGGGUAGCCGGCCUGAGAGGGUGACCGGCCACACUGGGACUGAGACACGGCCCAGACUCCUACGGGAGGCAGCAGUGGGGAAUAUUGCACAAUGGGCGGAAGCCUGAUGCAGCGACGCCGCGUGCGGGAUGACGGCCUUCGGGUUGUAAACCGCUUUCGGCUGGGAAGAAGCGAGAGUGACGGUACCUGCAGAAGAAGCACCGGCUAACUACGUG